rnacentral:lncRNA from 1 species
UCCAUUGCAGUCAAGGAUUGUCCGUGCAAAAUGGCGACGACCAUCUUUAAAAUAUAAAUGGCUACGGCCAUCUCCAAAAUAUAAAGUUACGACCAUCUUUAAAGUAUAAAUGGCUACGACCAUCUCCAAAAUAUGAAUGGCUACGGCCAUCUUCAAAGUAUAAAUGGCUACGGCCAUCUCCAAAAAAUAAAUUGCUACGACCAUCCUCAAAG